AGUGAACGCUGGCGGUAGGCCUAACACAUGCAAGUCGAACGGCAGCACAGUAAGAGCUUGCUCUUACGGGUGGCGAGUGGCGGACGGGUGAGGAAUACAUCGGAAUCUACUUUUUCGUGGGGGAUAACGUAGGGAAACUUACGCUAAUACCGCAUACGACCUACGGGUGAAAGCAGGGGAUCUUCUGACCUUGCGCGAUUGAAUGAGCCGAUGUCGGAUUAGCUAGUUGGCGGGGUAAAGGCCCACCAAGGCGACGAUCCGUAGCUGGUCUGAGAGGAUGAACAGCCACAGUGGGACUGAGACACGGCCCAGACGCCUACGGGAGGCAGCAGUGGGGAAUUUUGGACAAUGGGCGCAAGCCUGAUCCAGCAAUGCCGCGUGCGGGAAGAAGGCCUUCGGGUUGUAAACCGCUUUUGGCAGGAACGAAACGGUGUCCGCUAAUACCGGGCGCUAAUGACGGUACCUGCAGAAUAAGCACCGGCUAACUACGUG
rnacentral:rRNA from 1 species